CCUACGGGUGGCAGCAGUGGGGAAUAUUGCACAAUGGGGGAAACCCUGAUGCAGCGACGCCGCGUGAGUGAAGAAGUCUUUCGGUAUGUAAAGCUCUAUCAGCAGGGAAGAAAUAGCGACCUUUGGGUCGCCAGACGGUACCCGAUUAAGAAGCCCCGGCUAACUACGUGCCAGCAGCCGCGGUAAUACGUAGGGAGCAAGCGUUAUCCGGAUUUACUGGGUGUAAAGGGAGCGUAGACGGCAGCGCAAGUCUGAAGUGAAAUGCCGGGGCUGAACCCCGGAACUGCUUUGGAGACUGUGUAGCUAGAGUGCAGGAGAGGUAAGUGGAAUUCCUAGUGUAGCGGUGAAAUGCGUAGAUAUGAGGAGGAACACCAGUGGCGAAGGCGGCUUACUGGACUGUAACUGACGUUGAGGCGCGAAAGCGUGGGGAGCAAACAGGAUUAGAUACCCUUGUAGUC
rnacentral:rRNA from 1 species